rnacentral:sRNA from 1 species
UCGCAUUAGGGAUUGCAGCGGAAAUCCUUUUUGCUUUUCGCAAAAAGAUUGCAGCGAAAAGCCCGACCCGUA